GGAUUCAGCGGCGGACGGGUGAGUAAUAGCCUAGGAAUCUGCCUGGUAGUGGGGGAUAACGUCCGGAAACGGGCGCUAAUACCGCAUACGUCCUGAGGGAGAAAGUGGGGGAUCUUCGGACCUCACGCUAUCAGAUGAGCCUAGGUCGGAUUAGCUAGUUGGUGGGGUAAAGGCCUACCAAGGCGACGAUCCGUAACUGGUCUGAGAGGAUGAUCAGUCACACUGGAACUGAGACACGGUCCAGACUCCUACGGGAGGCAGCAGUGGGGAAUAUUGGACAAUGGGCGAAAGCCUGAUCCAGCCAUGCCGCGUGUGUGAAGAAGGUCUUCGGAUUGUAAAGCACUUUAAGUUGGGAGGAAGGGCAGUAAGUUAAUACCUUGCUGUUUUGACGUUACCAACAGAAUAAGCACCGGCUAACUUCGUGCCAGCAGCCGCGGUAAUACGAAGGGUGCAAGCGUUAAUCGGAAUUACUGGGCGUAAAGCGCGCGUAGGUGGUUCAGCAAGUUGGAUGUGAAAUCCCCGGGCUCAACCUGGGAACUGCAUCCAAAACUACUGAGCUAAGUACGGUAAGGGUGGUGGAAUUUCCUGUGUAGCG
rnacentral:rRNA from 1 species